rnacentral:ncRNA from 1 species
UAGAAUAAUGUAGGUAAGGGAAGUUGGCAAAAUUGAUCUGUAGGAUUGGAUCCAGUGGGUCGAUUAGUCUAUUAGGUGAUGUUUGUGCGGAUUUAUCCAUGCCCAAUAUCAAAGCGUUAUGUACAUGCGAUGAUGAGGAACUACUAAUAAGUCAUCUUGCGGACGUUUAUAGGUGUUUGCUUUGUUUUCGAAUUAAGUAUCCUGAUCGACCAUUAUAACGGUAGAACUGGAACUGGUAAGAGCUAGGGCUCUACUGGAUCCAACUGUUUAAUUAAAACAGAGGAGACAGAUGGUUCUCGCAACGCUUACUGUCUCUGAUUUCUACCCAGUGUUCUGAAUGAUAAAUCGUAGUAAUUCGAGUAAGCUCGGGUAAACGGCGGAAGUAACUAUAGCUCCCUUAAGGUAGCCAAACGCCUCUUCAGCUGACUACUGACGCGCUGAAUUGUUAACUAGAUUCCCACUAUCUCUAAGUACUAUCUAGUGAAACCAUAGCCAAGAGAACGGGCUUGG